UGGAGAUGAAGCAGUCCACAGUGUUGGGACAAGGCUUCAAAUCACACUUUAUAAGGUAGGGAACACUAAAGCCAUCAUAUAGCUUAUAAAAUAAAACAAGGAAGCCAAUUUCAAAACCAGUUUUAACAAUGAGGCUGAUAAGUGUACCAUAGGCCCCCAUCCGUUGUACCUGGGCUGACAUAGAGUUUCUUUCUGUGCCUUUUCUCUCUACCCUCAUGAUAGGCUACAUGUAAAACCACCAGAAGCGAAGGUGUGGAGACCAUGAUCAGUUGUAAGGCCCAAAGUCUGAGUUGGGAAAUGGGGAAGAAGUCAUCAAAACACACAUUUUCGCAACCGGGCUGUCUACUGUUGCACUCAAACUCUUUCUGCUCGUCUUUCCCCAUGUGCUCUGCUGCCACCAUGUAGACGAGCAAGCGGAAGACAAACACGACAGCCAGCCAAAUCCGUCCAAUCCCAGUGGAGUAUUUAUUUACUCCACUCAAGAGAUCUCUGAGGAACAUCCAACUCAUGACUUAGGCUCAAAAGAAGGCAAGAUUCUGCAAAAUAAGACAAUUUCAUCAGGACUCAUUUAUUUCUAUUCUACAGAUCAUUUCUACUAUUUGAGGGAUUAUACUCAGCCAAAAGAGAAUCAUGGAAAUGGUGGUGUGAGUGGAAAUGGGGAGUUAAGAAAACUGAGAUGUUCCAACAGCACACAUGUUGGGAGCAUAAUACAUGUUCUCUUACAGAGGAAGCAAUAUAGGGCAAGCCCACAUUCCAGAGCCCUGAGAAGGCAAAUGAAGGCUAAGAGAGAUGAGAAAACAUAACCAGAGAGUGGCCAGCAUGAAA
rnacentral:lncRNA from 1 species